UCCCUGGUGGCCCAGUGGUUGGGAAUCUGCCUGACAAUGCAGAGGACACAGGUUCGAUCCCUGGUCUGGGAA
rfam:TPA: Bos taurus chromosome 8, whole genome shotgun sequence.